GACGAACGCUGGCGGCGUGCUUAACACAUGCAAGUCGAACGGAAAGGCCCUGCUUUUGUGGGGUGCUCGAGUGGCGAACGGGUGAGUAACACGUGAGUAACCUGCCCUUGACUUUGGGAUAACUUCAGGAAACUGGGGCUAAUACCGGAUAGGAGCUCCUGCUGCAUGGUGGGGGUUGGAAAGUUUCGGCGGUUGGGGAUGGACUCGCGGCUUAUCAGCUUGUUGGUGGGGUAGUGGCUUACCAAGGCUUUGACGGGUAGCCGGCCUGAGAGGGUGACCGGCCACAUAGGGACUGAGGUACGGCCCAGACUCCUACGGGGGGCAGCAGUGGGGAAUAUUGCACAAUGGGCGGAAGCCUGAUGCAGCAACGCCGCGUGCGGGAUGACGGCCUUCGGGUUGUAAACCGCUUUCGCCUGUGACGAAGCGUGAGUGACGGUAAUGGGUAAAGAAGCACCGGCUAACUACGUG
rnacentral:rRNA from 1 species